rnacentral:ncRNA from 2 species
CGAAAAGGGAACAGCCCAACGUCUAAUCCCGCAAGGGAAAUGUAGUCGUUCACCUAUGCACUGGUCUAAGUCAGAUGAAUGCUGCGCGAUUCAGAGUAAAAGCCUCGUAUGACCAACCGCAAGCUUACGAUGGACCGGGGAGAGUCGGAUACUUUGAGAGUAGUGUCUUAAGGGGGUGGUAUGUCCCAUCCAAGGCUAAAUAACGUGAGGAGACCGAUAGAUUACAAGUAGUGUGAACGAAAGAUGAAAAGAACUCUAAAACAGAGGGUGAAAAGUUCCUGAACUUGCUUAGGGUUAAGGCUAUUUAUAGUACCCGUCUUGAAACACGGAUUAGGGAGUUUAUCUGUAGUGCGAGUCUUUGCACGUUAACUGUAAAGGCGUAGAGAAAGCAACUGGCGUUUGCAUGGCUACUGAGCAUUACUGAUAGGACCCGAAAGGUGGUGAACUUUGCCUGCACAGGUUGAAGUCAGGGGAAACUCUGAUGGAGGACCGUACGGGUUAUUGAUGUGCAAAUCAUUUUUCUGAUGUAGGUAAAGGUGCGAAAGACUCAUCGAACCACCUAAUAGCUGGUUUCCUCCGAAGUUUCCCUCAGGAUAGCUGUAAUGCAUUUAGUUAAGGGGAGUAGAGAUAUGGGUAGAGGUGCAGGGAGCCUUCGGGUUCUCAACUUAUUUCCAAACUUCGAACCUCCUUGUUAGGCAUUUACCUAACUGGAAAUGCUUAAAUGAAUUAGCGUUACAAGUGGGCUCUGACCGGUAAGCGGUCAUGGCGAAAUGGGAUGAACCAUACGUCUGAAUAAGGUGCCGAAAUGUACUAUCACUGAUACCAUAAAGGGAGUCCAUGUAUUUAGACAGCAGGUCGGUGCCCCUAAAAGCAGGUAUCCGCUAAAGAGUGUGUUAAAACUCACCUGCCGAAUACUAGGGCCCCGAAAAUGAAUGGCGCAUAUAGUACUACCGAUCUCAGACAUCAGUUCUAUUGAACUGAGAGUAGGGGGAUGUGGACAUUUUUGUGAAGGUGCAAUGUGAGUUGGACUGGAAGAAUGUCUAUUACAGAUCCUAAUUGAAGUAGCGAUUA